UACGUAGGGUGCAAGCGUUAAUCGGAAUUACUGGGCGUAAAGCGUGCGCAGGCGGUUUGUUAAGACAGAUGUGAAAUCCCCCGGGCUUAACCUGGGAACUGCAUUUGUGACUGGCGACUAGAGUAUGGCAGAGGGGGGUAGAAUUCCACGUGUAGCAGUGAAAUGCGUAGAGAUGUGGAGGAAUACCGAUGGCGAAGGCAGCCCCCUGGGCCCAAUACUGACGCUCAUGCACGAAAGCUGGGGAGCAAA
rnacentral:rRNA from 1 species